UCCGUAGGUGAACCUGCGGAAGGAUCAUUACCGAGUUAGGGUCUUAUAGGCCCGACCUCCAACCCUUUGUUUAUUACACCAUGUUGCUUUGGUGGACCCGCCUUUUGGGGCCGCUGGGGGCUUACACGCCCCUGGUCAGUAUCUGCCAGUAGCCUUAUUAAAUUCUUUUAUAAUUAUGUUGUCUGAGUAUAAAUAUAAAUCGUUAAAACUUUCAACAACGGAUCUCUUGGUUCUGGCAUCGAUGAAGAACGCAGCGAAAUGCGAUAAGUAAUGCGAAUUGCAGAAUUCAGUGAGUCAUCGAAUCUUUGAACGCAUAUUGCGCCCUUUGGUAUUCCGAAGGGCAUGCCUGUUCGAGCGUCAUUAUUCAACCAUCAAGCCUGGCUUGUCGUUGGACCUCUGCCGUUGAAAUAUAUGGCAGGUCCGAAAGAUAAUGACGGCGUCGUGUUUUGACCCUAGAUGCAACGAGCUUUUUAUAGCACGCAUUGAAGUGGUCGGCCGACCCGGUCUUUAACCAUCAUUUUCUAAGGUUGACCUCGGAUCAGGUAGGAAUACCCGCUGAACUUAAGCAUAUCAAUAAGCGGAGGAAAAGAAACCAACAGGGAUUACCCUAGUAACGGCGAGUGAAGCGGUAACAGCUCAAAUUUGAAAUCUGAUCUUUACGGGUCCGAGUUGUAAUUUGUAGAGGAUGUUUCGGAUAAAGCUUUGGUUUAAGUUUCUUGGAACAGAACGUCAUAGAGGGUGAGAGUCCCGUCUAGAACCGAUAGCCGCGUCCAUGUGAAACUCCUUCGACGAGUCGAGUUGUUUGGGAAUGCAGCUCAAAAUGGGUGGUAAAUUUCAUCUAAAGCUAAAUAUUGGCCAGAGACCGAUAGCGCACAAGUAGAGUGAUCGAAAGAUGAAAAG
rnacentral:rRNA from 1 species